AAGGAUAAUUUUUAAGAAAAAAAUCUACACUAUAUACUUACAUUGAAUUUACUAACACUCCAUUGGAUGGGAUUCUACUAAAUAGUUACCAGAAAAUUUUAAAUGUGGUUUGAAUAUGCAAUACUAAUAGUGCUAAAGUAAACAAACAUACUUUUUCUAUAAUAAGUAUUGGAGCAUUGACUUAUGUUUGCAUUUUUAAUUUUUUAUUUAUUAAAUUUUAUGUGCAUGAAUUUUUGGCCUACAUGUAUGUCUGCAUACUACAUACAUACCUGGAGCCUGGGGAGGUCAAAAGAGGGUCACAGGUCCCCUGGAACUAGAGUGACAGACAUAUGAGGCAACAUGUGAACGCUGAAGAGUGAGCCAGGGUCCUCUGCAAGAGCAACAAGUUCUCCAAACUGCUGUGCCAUCUCUGCUGACUCUGCAUGUUUUAAAGAAAUCCUCUGAAGCCCAAAGUGCUGGUGUUUUCAGGAACUACAUGAUAAAACUCUACUGCUGAAGACGGCACAGACCUACAAGGCAUGAUAAAGAAAAAGCAGACUGAAACUGAGCUGGAAGUUUCCUUUUUACCAAGUAGCCCUUACGCGGUGCUGUGUUGACUGCUAGAGGAGAAAAGACAUCCGUGGCCCUGCCCAGAUGGGGACCUUAUGACCCAUGACGUCAUCCUGCCAAGCAAGCUAUAUCCACUUGUGCAAUGCUGGCACUAAGCGUAGCUUUAACGAGAGAAGCCUUCCUUCCAGUGACUGGUGGACAGUAAAGGAACUCAUGGCAGUACCAGGCAUCAAAUGAUCAGGAAGUGAAUGCCCAUCCCUAACAGGACAUUUAUCUUAUUCCCUCUACGGCUCAGAGAACAUCACAGAAGAGGGAGGAAGAGAGAAUAGAAGAGCUAGAAGAGAGCUAAAUAUCAUCUUUUGGGCAAUACACAGCAACUGCAAUUACAGAUUCAUAGCAGCUGCAGACCCAUGCUGAGUCUGCACAAGAACCGGCCUAACAACAGUCAGACCUGGAUGGGAACAAAAGAGACCCUACUGCUCACUUUGCUAUUUGCCA